rnacentral:misc_RNA from 1 species
AAGUCGUAACAAGGUUUCCGUAGGUGAACCUGCGGAAGGAUCAUUAACACGUUAAGCUCCUCGCAAGAGGGCUUACGUUACCUUAUAAACGGUCACCUAUACCCUCUCGAUUAUAGGGUGUUAAAGCUGCAAUGCAGUGGAUAACUAUACGCGUGAGUUAUCGUGGCUUUAACUAUGCACUUCGAGUGCCACCUUAUAGUUGAGAGGAUGACAGAGUUAGCUCCCUGCGUCAACUACCACUGAGGUUGUGUAUCGGAGCUGGCUCUUUCAAUUACCAAUCAAACUUAUUCUCUGAUUCUAAUCUUGCUAGCGCUAGAGUUCGUUCAUUGGGCAACUAAUGGGCUCGAGCCGGUGUUAGUGGGUUUAUAAUCAAACUAAACUAAUACAACUCAUAGCAAUGGAUGUCUUGGUUCCCAU